GACGAACCGUCCUAACGUUGUUCGGAAUCACUGGGCUUAAAGGGCGCGUAGGCGGGCAGCCAAGUCCGGGGUGAAAUCUUUCGGCUCAACCGGAAAAUAGCCUUGGAUACUGGCUGUCUCGAGCGAGGUAGGGGAGGGUGGAACUUCCGGUGGAGCGGUGAAAUGCGUUGAUAUCGGGAGGAACGCCGGUGGCGAAAGCGACCCGCUGGACCUCUUCUGACGCUGAGGCGCGAAAGCCAGGGGAGCAAACGGG
rnacentral:rRNA from 1 species